rnacentral:rRNA from 1 species
AGUGAACGCUGGCGGUAGGCCUAACACAUGCAAGUCGAACGGCAGCACAGUAAGAGCUUGCUCUUACGGGUGGCGAGUGGCGGACGGGUGAGGAAUAUAUCGGAAUCUACUUUUUCGUGGGGGAUAACGUAGGGAAACUUACGCUAAUACCGCAUACGACCUACGGGUGAAAGCAGGGGAUCUUCGCACCUUGCGCGAUUGAAUGAGCCGAUGUCGGAUUAGCUAGUUGGCGGGGUAAAGGCCCACCAAGGCGACGAUCCGUAGCUGGUCUGAGAGGAUGAUCAGCCACACUGGAACUGAGACACGGUCCAGACUCCUACGGGAGGCAGCAGUGGGGAAUAUUGGACAAUGGGCGCAAGCCUGAUCCAGCCAUACCGCGUGGGUGAAGAAGGCCUUCGGGUUGUAAAGCCCUUUUGUUGGGAAAGAAAAGCAGCAGGUUAAUACCCCGCUGUUCUGACGGUACCCAAAGAAUAAGCACCGGCUAACUUCGUG